rnacentral:tmRNA from 1 species
GGGGAUGAAAGGUCUCGACGGGGGAGGUUGGUCACGGACGGCGAGCCGGGGGGCUCCCGCCCCGUUAACAACGGAGCGCAAACCCAAGAGUGCCAACAAUUGGGCUGCAAUUCCCGUCGCCGCCUAGUGCGGUAGUGGGAAAAACGGGCCGCUAGACGCGACCCCGCCCGCCUCGGUCUCGCGCCGGUGGGCCGGGGGCCGGGUGUCACAAUGCUGGCGUGCGGCGGCCGGACGCCGAUAAGGUCGCUCAAGAAACCAUCGGCUAGGCCCGGGUGUAGCGCGGUCGGCAGCGACUCCCCGGGCAAGAGGAAAGGGCCGACUACGCUCGUAGAAGUCCUUGACCGAAUCCUUCGGACGCGGGUUCGAUUCCCGCCAUCUCCACCA